CACAGUCACCUCCUGUGGUAACAAGCUCUCCUCUGGAACCAUCAUGGUAGCUCAAAAGUCCCUAACCAAGUCAGCACUUUGGUCUCUUGCCAUUUUUGCAAUCCUGAGUUUGCAGAACGCAGAUGCAGAUCCAUAUAAUCAGAAUUGUACCGAUAAUUAUAAAAAUAAUGAUGUACCAGGAUGGGGCAUUGCAAUGCUUGUAUUGGUGUCACUGCUU